UCCAUUCAAGGAAAAGAAGUAAAUUCCUAUG
rnacentral:piRNA from 1 species